UGUUGUGUCUUUGGACAUGGUAUAUCAGUCUACAUGUUUGAUAAGAUUUUUCAAAUAAAAACUGCCAUGCAAGAAACCCAUUGAAAUGGACAGUAGAUAAAUAAAAAAGCUGAUGCAAGUUUGAGGAGACUCAUUAGUCUAAAAUAAAAUGCACUCAGUGAUAGAAAUGCAAUCUAACUAAAAAUUCUUGUAAAAAAUUAUGAUAUACACUACAAAAAAAUAGCUAAUUUUCUGUAGUGUGUACCAAAUGGUGAAGGACAAAAUGUUAGGAGAUGCAAAGAGACCUGUCCAACCUAUCAACUAUCAACAGCUUUGUAGAUGCUGAUCAUCGUGUCAAAGGGUAAUGGGAUAUCAGGAUUUGAUUCCAGAGAGAAAGCAUGCAAAACAGCUUUCACAUCCAAGGAGGGCAUCAGUACACAAAUUACCUCUUCCUUGCAUAGGGAGAUAGUAAUGGAAAAUAAUGACACUGAACUCUGUCAAAGCCCCACAAUUGAUAUGAGUACACUUCAAAUCCAUUAAUGAGGAUUUACCAGAGGGCAGGUUUGAUGUCAGGAACCAUGGUAAUUCCAACUCCAGUAGCA
rnacentral:ncRNA from 1 species